rnacentral:lncRNA from 10 species
ACUCACACACAAUGUGCCAUCCUGACAAGGCUUUUACUUCUGAUAAGCUCCAAUGUGUGUUUAAUGAAUACAAAGCCGCGGUCUGGGUGCCGCCUCGGCCGCGGCCGCUCUCCCGCGCUCCUUUGCCAGAAGCUGGCGGAGAGAAUUUACAUUUAAAGAUUAGCAGAGUGAGAAAGAGAAAUCUGCCUUUUGUUGUGUGGGGUGAGGAGGAGGCAUCUACCCCUGGCCUUGACGCUAUCUCCCAUCACCUCUGCUAUCCAGACAGGACUCACCGAGAAAAGAUUGAUCUCUGGGCUGGUGAACAUAAUCUCUGUCCCAGUCAGAAAAGGAGAGAGGAAAUUAGCAGAGCGAUUGGUGGAGAAUGAUAUCUGUCAAAAGAAACACUUGGAGAGCACUGAGUUUAGUAAUAGGUGACUGCCGGAAAAAAGGGAACUUUGAAUAUUGUCAAGAUAAACCCCACUUGAAAAACUGAGGUGCUUAAGGAGUAAAAUAAUAUGUUCCUGGUGGCAUCCUCCAGAUCGUACUGAGAAGCACU